CCUGGGGACAACUUUGAGGGUGAUGGAGUAGGUAUCAGGGGGUUGAUUGCUAAUAGUGUUCACAGCCAUAAACAUGUAUUUUGUGCUGACAUUAUUGAAAUACCAUACAAGGAAUUUCAAGAUUGACUUGCUUAUAUUCUAAGAGGAUUGUCUUUUUUUUAAUAAAUAUAAUUUCACAGAAUCUUGACUCAUAUUGGACUGGUGUUGUUCCUGUGAUUGAUGAAUUACAUGGUUCAACUCUCACUUGCUGGCCAUACUGAGUGUUUUGCUCAAGUUGAAUCUGGUCAUUUUCUGUGUUGUUUGAACAAAGUCAUCCAUUUUUUAAUCAUCAUGUGCAUUGUUAUUUCUUCAUCUUCUUGGUCAGCGACAGCAGUGAUAUCAUUUUGAGGAAGAUUAUUAGCAAAUGGAGGUACAGGGGCUACAGCUAAAGAUAUAAGCAGGCCUAUCUACCUUAGGCCCAAACUUGGUGGACAGUCCCAUGGUCCCCAGAGGACUCUCUACUCCCCUCGUACCCUAGCAUGCCCAGGAUCAUAGGAUCACAGAUGAGUAGAAUACAACAUCUAUUCCCACACCACUAGGAGUGAUUGGGACCAGCAGGAUACAGGGAUGCAGGAACCCCCUCCAGACCAGUGGCUUAGGUUCCUUCCAGUCAGUGUCAGCACAGGUCUACCUUGGGCACAAACUCAGCAAACACUCUCACAGCUGCCUGAAGAGAUACCACUCCCAGGUGCUCUACCAUGUACCAGGAUCUCAGGAUCCCAGGAUCCUAGGA
rnacentral:lncRNA from 1 species